AAUCAACGCUGGCGGCGCGCCUAACACAUGCAAGUCGAGCGAGAAAGUGUAGCAAUACAUGAGUAAAGCGGCGCACGGGUGAGUAACACGUGGGUAAUCUGCCCUCGAGUGGGGAAUAACACCGGGAAACCGGCGCUAAUACCGCAUACGAUCACGAUUUCUUCGGAUUUUGUGAUGAAAGGAGCAAUUCGCUCUUGGAGGAGCCCGCGGCUGAUUAGCUAGUUGGUGAGGUAAUGGCUCACCAAGGCAACGAUCAGUAGCCGGUCUGAGAGGACGGUCGGCCACACUGGAACUGAGACACGGUCCAGACUCCUACGGGAGGCAGCAGUGGGGAAUUUUUCGCAAUGGGGGCAACCCUGACGAAGCAACGCCGCGUGGAUGAUGAAGUAUCUCGGUACGUAAAAUCCUUUCGACGGGGAAGAAAACCGCAAGGUUUGACGGUACCCGUAGAAGAAGCCCCGGCUAACUCCGUGCCAGCAGCCGCGGUAAUACGGGGGGGGCAAGCGUUGUUCGGAAUUACUGGGCGUAAAGGGCGCGUAGGCGGUUCGCUAAGUUGAAUGUGAAAACUCUGGGCUUAACCCAGAGCCUGCAUUCAAUACUGGCGGGCUAGAGUUCUGGAGGGGAUAGCGGAAUUCCUGGUGUAGCGGUGAAAUGCGUAGAUAUCAGGAGGAACACCGGUGGCGAAGGCGGCUAUCUGGACAGAGUCUGACGCUGAGGCGCGAAAGCUAGGGGAGCAAACAGGAUUAGAUACCCUGGUAGUCCUAGCCCUAAACGAUGGAUACUUGCUGUGACUGGGAUUGAAUCCAGUCGUGGCGAAGCUAACGCAUUAAGUAUCCCGCCUGGGGAGUACGGUCGCAAGGCUGA
rnacentral:rRNA from 1 species